rnacentral:misc_RNA from 1 species
GUUUGGUUUUAAAAAAAAAAAAAACUUUCAUGAAUUUCGUCCAAAAAAAUAAAAUUUUAAUAUGCUCACUGAAUUAGCAUGAUUAUAGUUUUGGCAAUAUUUCUUGAAUAUGAGGUGGAAAUUUCUACUACUACAUAGGCAAAAACAAGCGAAAUCAUUUUGAUUCUGCUGCAUCAAAACUACUUCGAGUAGUCUAAUUGAGAAAGAGAAAAGACCAGGCAUUCUAUUCAAGAUAUUCUUGUUUGCUUUUUGUUUCCCAAUUUUGCCCCUUGCCUAGAGAGAAAAAGGACAUAGCUACAUCACAUGGAGGCACUGCACUCCAUAGAGUUAUCCUGCAUGCAUAAAUCAACUAAUGGGAAG